CUGCACAGCUUCAGCAGCACAAAUACUAAAAUUGGAAAGAAUAGAGAAGAUUAACAUGGCCCCUGUGCAAGAAUGACUUGCAAAUUCACAAAGUGUUCCAUAUUUUU
rfam:Tupaia chinensis contig21419, whole genome shotgun sequence.